UUUCAGUCUGCCUCAGUUGUGAGCAGUACGUAAUCUCAGUCAAACUAUUUGGAACCAUGUUGUUUAUGAAGAAGCUUAUUUUAAUUCAGUAAAGCUCUUAUUCUUUAAAACUCUGCAUUAUUUGUCACUGAUGAUGACAUCUCAAAAUAGAGAUGGGAAUGGGGUUUUUACUUUAAAAAUGGUACCUGCCAUUUGCAGUUUUUAUAGUAUUUAUAUUGGAAAAAAAUGCUUUUUUUAAAAAAAAAAAGUGUGUAGGUCCAUUAAUUAAGGACGUCUUUGUAGUCAAAUAAACAUAUUUUUAACCGAUUAAUAUAAACAAACAUUCUACUCUAACAAAUAACACAAGAGGCAUCCAUAGCUGCUGAGGAAUACGAAAGAUAAAAAUUAUAUACAGUGGUGCCUCAGGUUACAUACGCUUCAGGUUACAGACUCCGCUAACCCAGAAAUAGUGCUUCAGGUUAAGAACUUUGCUUCAGGAUGAGAACAGAAACCGUGCUCCGGCAGCGCGGCAACAGUGGGAGGCCCCAUUAGCUAAAGUGGUGCUUCAGGUUAAGAACAGUUUCAGGUUCAGUAUGGACCUCUGGAACGAAUUAAGUACUUAACCCGAGGUACCACUGUACAACAUAAAUGUUGUAGUGUAGACAUAAUCUUGAAAUGUUUGGUUUUGAGACAGUUUAUUCCACUUCUAAAAUGUGCUCUUUUUUAAACUAAUAAAUCCACAAAACUUAUUUGCAUUUGCAGUGCCAAAUGCAAUUAAGGUACUGCUUGCCUCUUCUGUAUAAUUUCCUUAUUGUAAGAUGUUAAAUAAAAGUGGGCAUCAAUAGAUUCCCAGUGGACAGAGAGGCGGGCACAUUCCCAUUCCAUUCUCACUCCUCUGCCAUUUGUGAUUACCCUUUGCUGAUACUUGAUAGUCACUUCUCUCUUCCUGUACAGCUGUGUUCAGAAGUACUGUCCUUAUUCUUCUGGUCACUAAUAAAUGGUUUUUGUUUCUUUGUUAGAUUCUGCAGCUCCACCACCAAGGAAAAUCUUGUCAGUUCCCCCCACGGAUUGAAUUUUCUGUGGCAUAGCUUUGCCAUCCAAGCACAUCUUGUUCUCAAGACCUUCACAUUUUUCUAUUCCCUGCAUCUCAGCUUCCAUCUUUUUAUCCAUGGAAUUAAAUUAGCAGAUUUUGAGAUAAGGAGGGACUGGAUAAAUUAACCACUGUGUGGAGAAAAUGAAUAAUACUCUCUCGCAUAAUAGUAGAACGAUACUUAGAGGUUUGUUUGUAGAAAAAGAAAAGAAAAAGAAAAUAAUCACAUGGUAUAUAAUUUUUUUUAAAUAAACAAAUACAAGAACAUGCAAUGAAGUAAAAUGUUGAAAGAGUCCACUCGAAGUUAAUCUCUGAAAUUUGCUCUUACAAUAUUACCUCACAAUACCAGUCACUAAAGAUACGG